CGAAUGGAUUAAGAACUUGCUCUUAUGAAGUUAGCGGCGGACGGGUGAGUAACACGUGGGUAACCUGCCCAUAAGACUGGGAUAACUCCGGGAAACCGGGGCUAAUACCGGAUAACAUUUUGAACCGCAUGGUUCGAAAUUGAAAGGCGGCUUCGGCUGUCACUUAUGGAUGGACCCGCGUCGCAUUAGCUAGUUGGUGAGGUAACGGCUCACCAAGGCAACGAUGCGUAGCCGACCUGAGAGGGUGAUCGGCCACACUGGGACUGAGACACGGCCCAGACUCCUACGGGAGGCAGCAGUAGGGAAUCUUCCGCAAUGGACGAAAGUCUGACGGAGCAACGCCGCGUGAGUGAUGAAGGCUUUCGGGUCGUAAAACUCUGUUGUUAGGGAAGAACAAGUGCUAGUUGAAUAAGCUGGCACCUUGACGGUACCUAACCAGAAAGCCACGGCUAACUACGUGCCAGCAGCCGCGGUAAUACGUAGGUGGCAAGCGUUAUCCGGAAUUAUUGGGCGUAAAGCGCGCGCAGGUGGUUUCUUAAGUCUGAUGUGAAAGCCCACGGCUCAACCGUGGAGGGUCAUUGGAAACUGGGAGACUUGAGUGCAGAAGAGGAAAGUGGAAUUCCAUGUGUAGCGGUGAAAUGCGUAGAGAUAUGGAGGAACACCAGUGGCGAAGGCGACUUUCUGGUCUGUAACUGACACUGAG
rnacentral:rRNA from 1 species